CCGCCCGCCGGCCCUCGGGCGGCGGACGCGCCUCGAAGAACUCGGCGGUCCCAGGACGGCUCCGGGCGUAGCAAAAGCGAAUCGCCUUGGAGUCCGCCCCGGCGGCCUGCCGCACAAAUGACACACAACUUUUGCAAGGUGACCUCGGAUCAGGCGGGGAUACCCGCUGAACUUAAGCAUAUCAAAA
rnacentral:rRNA from 1 species